CCCUAGCCCCGAGUGAAGUGAAAAUCAUUUUUUAUCGUUUUUCUCGAUAAAAAAUAUUGCAACGAAAAGCGGGAAAUAGC
rnacentral:sRNA from 2 species